rnacentral:rRNA from 1 species
AUGAACGCUGGCGGCGUGCCUAAUACCUGCAAGUCGAGCGAACAGACGAGGAGCUUGCUCCUCUGACGUUAGCGGCGGACGGGUGAGUAACACGUGGAUAACCUACCUAUAAGACUGGGAUAACUUCGGGAAACCGGAGCUAAUACCGGAUAAUAUAUUGAACCGCAUGGUUCAAUAGUGAAAGACGGUUUUGCUGUCACUUAUAGAUGGAUCCGCGCCGCAUUAGCUAGUUGGUAAGGUAACGGCUUACCAAGGCAACGAUGCGUAGCCGACCUGAGAGGGUGAUCGGCCACACUGGAACUGAGACACGGUCCAGACUCCUACGGGAGGCAGCAGUAGGGAAUCUUCCGCAAUGGGCGAAAGCCUGACGGAGCAACGCCGCGUGAGUGAUGAAGGUCUGCGGAUCGUAAAACUCUGUUAUUAGGGAAGAACAAAUGUGUAAGUAACUAUGCACGUCUUGACGGUACCUAAUCAGAAAGCCACGGCGAACUACGU